CGUUAUUGUGGCAGUAAUGGCGUAGAUGUCUGCUGCACAGGAAAUACCAACAUGGCUUGCUUUAGCCUCGUGUUGGGGAAAAUGUUCAGGAAAGUGUUAUAAACCCCUUUAGUGAACUUUAAGAGCUCUGAAGAUACACUUUGAGACAAGCAUUACAUUUAAAAUUUUAAUGUGAGUUGUUUGUUGUUUAUUCUGCAAAGAACAGAAUGAAGAAAAUCACAAAUCCAUAUCUGGCAGCGAUCAUGUUAGGAGGUGUCAUAAACAUACGAACUUAUAUCAUGGGUAAGAUACAUCCUGAAGAUGCCUGUUUUCUGAGUUGUAAGGCAGUGUAGCCAGGCAGAAGUUUAUUGACGUUUCAGAGGUGCUUACUGCCUCCAUCACCAAUGCCACCAUGUCAUUUCAACCCCACUGAACUGGUCUGAUUCCAGGCAAAGUUGUGUAAAUUGGUCAAAAUGGGCUUGGAAUGGAGGUUGUGAUAAAGAUGGGGAGGAAUCAUUUGAACAGAUUUUGGAAAGAAUGGUUUCAGUGCGUUUUUCUAACCUUCAAGUGACUCCGUGAAUGCGGGAAAAUGAUGUGUGGCAUGCUGAGAGGCUGAUGAAAGAGAGUCAGGAAGCAGAAACCUGUAUAGAAAAUAGUGAAUCAAUUAAUUAUUACUCUUGAAGAGACCUCUGCGGAAGACGGUGAUUCAUAUGUCUGGCCAGUCACACUUGAGUAAAUGUAAAUAAUAAUGGAUGAGCAAAUGUGGAUUGAUUCAUAUUUCUAUUCACUGUAGUCGUGCAGGAAGUAAUUGUAAUUUAUUGUACAUUAUCAUUCUGCUAUGAACAGUUAACUACUGAGAUAAUUUUCCUACAAAGAAAUCAGACAAAUAUGACAUGACUUUGCUGAUUGUAUUGAAAAGUAUUUUUGCAUAUGACACAAAACAAUUCAUAAAUACUUUUCAAAACAAUAAUAAAUUGUAAAAUAUGAAUCUGAAAACAGAGUCCUUAACAAUUAUCCUGAAAUCAAAAUUUUAGAUUCAAGGGAACCAGCCAAUGUUCAUUGAUCAACCCAGAGGUUAGAAGAACCUUUGUCUAACAAUUUCUCCACAUCGGGCAAGCUUACAGUAUCCAUGGUGCAUGAGAUUUGAGCACUCUUCAAUGAUGUAUUAUACUCAGCUAGUCCAGUAAAACUAACCUCAAUAACUCCCAUAAGGAAUCCUGAUCACAGAAUCAAACUCUGCUCCCAUUUAUUUGAGCCAUCCAGCAUAACUGAAAAUGAGAAGGUUCAGGCGAAUAAAUAUUUGUUGCAUCCCAAGAUUACUUGGUGAGGAGAGUGAUCUAUACAAUAAGGUAACAAAUAUAUUUUUGUAAUAUCAUAUAAAACAACUUACCAAAGUAUAUCAAUAAAAUUUGUAAUUGAAUUGUU